GAUGAACGCUAGCUACAGGCUUAACACAUGCAAGUCGAGGGGCAUCACAGUGUAGCAAUACACGGGUGGCGACCGGCGCACGGGUGCGUAACACGUAUCCAAUCUGCCCGUUACUCGGGGAUAGCCUUCUGAAAGGAAGAUUAAUACCCGAUGGCAUGUAUUUCCGGCAUCGGAGAUACAUUAAAGAUUUAUCGGUAACGGAUGAGGAUGCGUACGAUUAGCUUGUUGGCGGGGUAACGGCCCACCAAGGCUACGAUCGUUAGGGGUUCUGAGAGGAAGGUCCCCCACACUGGAACUGAGACACGGUCCAGACUCCUACGGGAGGCAGCAGUGAGGAAUAUUGGUCAAUGGUCAGACGACUGAACCAGCCAUGCCGCGUGAAGGUGACGGCCCUAUGGGUCUUAAACUUCUUUUUGUAAGGGAGCAAUAAGGGUCACGUGUGGCCUGAUGAGAGUACCUUACGAAUAAGCAUCGGCUAACUCCGUGCCAGCAGCCGCGGU
rnacentral:rRNA from 1 species